ACUCCUACGGGAGGCAGCAGUGGGGAAUAUUGCACAAUGGGCGCAAGCCUGAUGCAGCGACGCCGCGUGAGGGAUGACGGCCUUCGGGUUGUAAACCUCUUUCAGCACAGACGAAGCGCAAGUGACGGUAUGUGCAGAAGAAGGACCGGCCAACUACGUGCCAGCAGCCGCGGUAAUACGUAGGGUCCGAGCGUUGUCCGGAAUUACUGGGCGUAAAGAGCUCGUAGGUGGUUUGUCGCGUUGUUCGUGAAAACUCACAGCUUAACUGUGGGCGUGCGGGCGAUACGGGCAGACUAGAGUACUGCAGGGGAGACUGGAAUUCCUGGUGUAGCGGUGGAAUGCGCAGAUAUCAGGAGGAACACCGGUGGCGAAGGCGGGUCUCUGGGCAGUAACUGACGCUGAGGAGCGAAAGCGUGGGGAGCGAACAGGAUUAGAUACCCUGGUAGUCCACGCCGUAAACGGUGGGUACUAGGUGUGGGUUUCCUUCCUUGGGAUCCGUGCCGUAGCUAACGCAUUAAGUACCCCGCCUGGGGAGUACGGCCGCAAGGCUAAAACUCAAAGGAAUUGACGG
rnacentral:rRNA from 1 species